GACACAGUUGAAAGAAAGGAAUACUUCCUGGCUAAAUUUGCUGCUGAUAAGAACAGGAUGAAAACUGAAAUUGUUUGCAACAAUUCGAAGAGUACAGCAAAUGAGGUGAAAUUGGGAUAUAUCCAAGUCUGGGGAUUGGGAAACGUUCAGCCUUCAAAUGUCACUGUAACUUAUGAGAACAAAAAUCAUACAAUCAACAGUUUUGAGUACAAGCCUGAAUCACAGGAGCUCUCCAUUCAAAUGAUAGAUAAAAAUUUCCAGAUAGACAAGCCAUUAGAAAUUUUUUGGAAAACAUCCUGAGUUUUAAUUCUACGUAUCGGAC